UUUAUUCUCAUAAUGCAUUUCUCAACCACCACACGCACACACACAUAUAUAAACAACACUAUCCUUUAUGAAACAUUUCCAACAUCAGAUGACAGAAGAAGCAUCCUCAAUAUCUACCGUGUUUUAAAGACUAAAGGAAAAUAUUAUA